rnacentral:rRNA from 1 species
UACGGAGGGGGCUAGCGUUGUUCGGAAUUACUGGGCGUAAAGCGCACGUAGGCGGCUUUGUAAGUUAGAGGUGAAAGCCCGGGGCUCAACUCCGGAAUUGCCUUUAAGACUGCAUCGCUAGAAUUGUGGAGAGGUAAGUGGAAUUCCGAGUGUAGAGGUGAAAUUCGUAGAUAUUGGGAAGAACACCCGUGGCGAAAGCGGCUCUCUGGAACGGUACUGACGCUGAGACGCGAAAGCGUGGGGAGCGAACAGG